GCGGGAGUAACUCAGCCUGGUAGAGUUCCAGCCUUCCAAGCUGGGUGUCGCGGGUUCGAAUCCCGUCUCCCGCU
rnacentral:tRNA from 1 species